rnacentral:rRNA from 1 species
GACGAACGCUGGCGGCGUGCCUAAUACAUGCAAGUCGAACGCACUCUCGUUUAGAUUGAAGGAGCUUGCUCCUGAUUGAUAAACAUUUGAGUGAGUGGCGGACGGGUGAGUAACACGUGGGUAACCUGCCCUAAAGUGGGGGAUAACAUUUGGAAACAGAUGCUAAUACCGCAUAAAACCUAACACCGCAUGGUGUAGGUUGAAAGAUGGUUUCGGCUAUCACUUUAGGAUGGACCCGCGGUGCAUUAGUUAGUUGGUGAGGUAAAGGCUCACCAAGACCGUGAUGCAUAGCCGACCUGAGAGGGUAAUCGGCCACACUGGGACUGAGACACGGCCCAGACUCCUACGGGAGGCAGCAGUAGGGAAUCUUCCACAAUGGACGAAAGUACUGAUGGAGCAACGACCGCGUGAGUGAAGAAGGUUUACGGUAUCGUAAAACUACUGUUGUUGGUAGAAGAAUAGUAUCUGAUAGUAACUAG